AUUAACUUGAAUCACAGUCAGUAAUACCACUUUGGGAAUGCACAUUUAGAUAUUUCGUUUCCAAAUCCCAAUCACUCCCCUCUACCCCAUUCCAUCUUUUCCUUAUUUGCUACUAAAUUUAUGAUUUCAAACAUCCCUCAGCUGGAGUAGAAAUACUAGGGUUUCUUCUCUUUCUUCAGGCAAGAGCCAGUCUUGAGAUUUGAAAUGUGCUUUAUCCAUAGAUAAUGUUUCUUGGAGACAUCCCACAAUGGGCUCUGUUUUUAUUGGAAGACUCAUUGAACAUAUGCAAGAAUAUGCCUGUUCCUGUGAUGUGGAGGAAAUUUUCCGCAAGGAAGUGAAGAGAUCCUUCUGUAAAGGUUUUUGGAAUUAUGUCUGCUGAAUAAUAAACUUUUUUGAAAUAAUAAAUCUGGUAGAAAAAUGAAAA
rnacentral:sRNA from 1 species